UAGGGAAUCUUCCACAAUGGACGCAAGUCUGAUGGAGCAACGCCGCGUGAGUGAAGAAGGUUUUCGGACCGUAAAGCUCUGUUGUUGGUGAAGAAGGAUAGAGGUAGUAACUGGCCUUUAUUUGACGGUAAUCAACCAGAAAGUCACGGCUAACUACGUGCCAGCAGCCGCGGUAAUACGUAGGUGGCAAGCGUUGUCCGGAUUUAUUGGGCGUAAAGCGAGCGCAGGCGGAAGAAUAAGUCUGAUGUGAAAGCCCUCGGCUUAACCGAGGAAUUGCAUCGGAAACUGUUUUCUUGAGUGCAGAAGAGGAGAGUAGAACUCCAUGUGUAGCGGUGGAAUGCGUAGAUAUAUGGAAGAAUACCAGUGGCGAAGGCGGCUCUCUGGUCUGCAACUGACGCUGAGGCUCGAAAGCAUGGGUAGCGAACAGGAUUAGAUACCCUUGGUAGUCCA
rnacentral:rRNA from 1 species